ensembl:lncRNA
GCGGCGCCGGUGUUGGGUCGGCCACGAUCCGGCUGCAAGACGCAGAGCGCUAGCGCUGGAACAGGGUGGAAGCGGUCGGGACGGAUCAGCGAAAAUCUUGGGAAGAAAACAGGGCAAAGGUGACUGCAGGAAUCUUCUGCGCCCCCCCCCCCAAUUUGCAAGACAGAAGCAGAAUACUGGGAAAGUACUACUUUAACCCAAAAGAAUGACUUUACUAGUGGAAGAAUUUCUGUCACCUGCCAUUUGAACCGGGGAAGGUCUUUUGAGGCCAGAUUCUUCUCAAGGAUGUUCAAAUCAGACAAACAUCCACUUGGUAAACGUAGAAAGAGACGGACUUCUGGUAUCAGAUGACACAAGUGAGGGAAGAAAACCAGGUCAGCCACUGCAGUCUGUCUUCCAGGUAUACUUUUGAAGAAUAAGUGUCUUCAUCUCUAGGAAUGGAAAGCACUGAUUAUUUGACAGAUAAGGAGUGUGCAUCCUGAAAAACUACACAAUCACAACAGUGUUUCUUGGUUCCCUGCAGCCCCAACAAAUGAAUCAUUGUGUCAGUCAAGUCAUAUUCAAGGGAAAAAUUAAUUGUAAAAUAUUUUUCACUGUUUGGGCUGGUUUAAUAGAAUUUAUCCAAGAGGCUUCUCUCUUCUCAGGCUAAAUUAUCUAAGCUUAUUGACAACUGUUCUGUAAUACACAGCAUUAAUUUAUGAACCUGGAAAAUAACUUGGAAGAAAGAUAUGGCAAGUCAAUAUUGCUAUCACUCAAAUAACUAUUAAGUAUUUACUGAAGGUCUUCUAUAUGCAGUGUUGCUGGAUAGAAGCAUCAUUCCUGACAACAAAGAUCUUACAGCCAUUCUGACUAUUCAUUUUUCUUGAAACUAUUCAUAGUUUAAGUUUGCUUUUUUUUUUCUCUUAUCAAGCCAUUUGGAUGAGGCCCAAGCACCUUACCCUAAAUACGAGAAACUCACUAAUGUCAUAGAGGAUGAAAUUAACAUCAACAAGAUUGAAUAGUUGAGCAUCUCCUAAGAAAGCCUUUAGGAUGAGCUUUGGCUUGUCCCUGAAGGUUGCACGAAAUAGAGCCUUGCAGCCAUGCGUAGUUCGUGUCGCAGUGAAUGUGGUGUAUUAAUACAGGAUUUUCCUUAAUCCUAGCAGAAGCAUCUGCAUUGUGCUGCCUGAUUUUUCUCUCUCAUUUGUACCAAAUAAGCCCAAACUUUUAGCAUAUUCCAGAGGAAUAAUCAAGGGGGUUCUAUCUGUAAAGUUGAUAUAUACCGUAUAACAUAAUUAAUUUGUUUAGUAUAAAUCUGUGAAAAAAUAAAAUAGUACUGUUUGUAUUUCUAAGUUUUAUGGCUACCAUUUAGAUACAGGAGAACUUCUAAGUGGCAUUUAACUUUCUAUUGGCCUUUGGCACUUUGUUUUCAUUCUGCGUGUAAGCAAACGCUCAGUGAAAUCAGCCAUUAUAUUUACUUCUAGGGUGUGGAGCAACAAACUGCUCUUACUUUAUACUUAUAAAAUACUAUAUAUAGGACCUCAUCUUGUAGAUACUAUAGCUGAUUUUGUUUCCCUUUUCCCAAUGGCUUUUGAAAGCCUAGAUGAAAAUGUAUGUGCCAUCUGUACAGAAUCACAUUGUGUGCAUUUUGAGACAUAACCUCAUUUCAAGGUUCAUUUUCAUUUUGCUAUGUCAUUUUCCCAUUGUACUCAUUUUCUUACCUACUUAAAAAAAAAAGCUUGCUUUUAUCUUCACAAAUGCAAUAAAUACACACUAUGUAAGACAUGUAAAAUAUGUAUCAGAAAAAAAGAAAACAGGAGUUCCUGCUCCGGUGCAGUGGGUGAAGCCUCUGACUGUAGAGGCUCGGGUCACUGUGGAGGUGCAGGUUCGAUCCCUGGCCCAGUGCAAUGGGUUAAAGAAUCAAGUGAUAUGCUGCAGCUGCUGCUUGGAUUCAAUCCCUGGCCCAGAAAUUUCCAUACGCUGUGAGUAUAGCCAUUAAAAAAAGAAAGAAAGAACAAGAAAAAAAGUAAAUAAAAAUGAUCUGGUCUUUCACCACCCAUCUUAGUUCUUUUUUUUUUUAAUGAUUUUUAUUUUUUCAUUAUAGUUGGUUUAGAGUGUUCUGUCAAUUUUCUACUAUACAGCAAAAUGACCCAGUCACACAUACAUAUAUACAUUUAUAUACAUUCUUUUUCUCACCUUAUCCUCCAUCCUGCUCCAUCCCAAGUGACUAGAUACACUUCCUGGUGCCCACGUUAGUUCUUCGUAUUUUGUCAUUUCCUCAUGUAUGUGUGCGCAUUUCUAAAAGUGGUCCAUUUUAUAUCAUUUUACACCAUGCUGUCUGAAUUUAACAAUACAUGGAACCUCUUCAAUAGAAUUAAAUGUGAUUUUACAACAGUUGCACAUAUCCACAAAACAGAUAUCACUUCACCAAUUUCCUGCUUGUUGCAUGUUUAAAUUAUUUUUUUUUUCGUUCUUUCUUUUGCUUUUAGGGUCUCACUUGUGGCAUAUGGAAGUUCCCAGGUUAGGGGGUCAAACCAGAGCUGCAGCUGCCGGCCUGUGACACAGCAAGGCCAGAUCUGCGGCGCGUCUGCAGCCUACACCACAGCUCAGGGCAAUGCAGGAUCCUUAACCCACUGAGCAAGGCCAGGGAUCCACCCACACCCUCACGGACACUAGUCAGGUUUGCUACCACUGAGCCAAAACAGGAACCCCUAAAUUCUUUUCACUCCUUUGCCAUUAUAAACAAUGGUGCAACAUACCUACACAUGGUGAACACAGCUAAACUUGCUUUCACUCUUGAUCAUUUCCUUAAGAUAAAUUCCUAAAAGUGGAAUUUCUAGAUUAGGCUGAAUGCAGAUGUGCCGGUUUUCCCUAACAAUAACACCAACUAAAUAUACACACAAUUUCUAAGUGGCCUCUGUCCAAUCCCCUCACCAGUAAUGAGGUUGUUUUGUUUUGGUUUACAUUUUAUCUUUUUCAUUGUACUAAUUUUGUCAGCCACCUGAAGUCUCAACGAGAACAUAUGGGAUAUAAAUAAAUAAAACAAAAAGAAAACUUCCACAAAAUAAAAAGCCAUGUGGUGCACAUCUGAAAAUUAGCUUAGCUAAGAUGUUUCUAAAUAUUCAUGUCAAAAAUUACCUACAUGCAUAAAAAUACAUGAUUGGAGUCGCUGGUCCUUUGCUGAAAUUCUAUUCGAUGCCACGUAAUUCCCCCCAGUCCUUCCACACACCUGCCAAAAAUACAAGAUUCCAGAAAGGAAGUUCUGUACAAACUCAAACUACUGCUCAUCAUUUUCAUCUCCGGUACACAUGCACAAGCCACUAAAGCUGAUGGUUCACCAAGUUUCAGAGCAAACUAAAAAGCAGACAGAGUGUCAGAAUUUGUAUCGUCCAGCAACAGAAGGUAGCCAGAGAAGGCAUUGUACUGUCCACGUCAUAAAAAGAACACAAUGUUAUGAUGUAAAAUAUCCACUGUGGUCCAAUCACCUUUGCCAUAAGCCGCGUUGUUACGUGUACCAGUGUAUUCCAGGGACUAUAGAUGAAAAUGCCCUUAUGGACCAACCCUCGUGUAGGCACGAACUUUGGGGUCUUCCGUAGCUCUAAGGGUGGAUUUGUGUUAUUUCAUCCCAGUUCUUGUCUGAGUCCCUUUUUAAGUAACUGUAUAAAAUUUCAAGGUACGUAUGCAGCUGUCAGCCUAGAGCCAGGUAAAAUGACCUGCUCAGUACCUGGAAUGAAACAUGGAGCCUGGGCCUUAUUAUUAGCAUUACGUUCUGAUGAAUUGUACUGAUGCUUCUGAGGGUAAAUGGGCUGGAGGCUGUCGUGAAUUAUUAAAUAGUUUCC